rnacentral:rRNA from 1 species
UACAGAGGUGCCGAGCGUUAGGCGGAAUCACUGGGCUUAAAGCGUGUGUAGGCGGGUGCCUAAGUACCUUGUGAAAUCCCACGGCUCAACCGUGGAACUGCUCGGUAUACUGGGUGCCUUGAGCCAACUAGGGGCGACCGGAACAAACGGUGGAGCGGUGAAAUGCGUAGAUAUCGUUUGGAACGCCGAUGGUGAAAACAGGUCGCUGGGGUUGUGCUGACGCUGAGACACGAAAGCCAGGGGAGCGAACGGG